rnacentral:rRNA from 1 species
ACGUAGGAGGCAAGCGUUAUCCGGAGUUACUGGGCGUAAAGGGCGUGCAGGCGGUUGGCUAAGUUCGUUGUGAAAGCGCCCAGGCUUAACCGGGAGAGGACGGACGAGACUGGGCAGCUAGAGGCAGGUAGAGGUGUGUGGAAUUCCGGGUGUAGUGGUGAAAUGCGUAGAGAUCCGGAGGAACACCAGUGGCGAAGGCGGCACACUGGGCCUAGCCUGACGCUCAGACGCGAAAGCAUGGGGAGCGAACGG